rnacentral:rRNA from 1 species
GACAGAGGAUGCAAGCGUUAUCCGGAAUGAUUGGGCGUAAAGCGUCUGUAGGUGGCUUUUCAAGUCCGCCGUCAAAUCCCAGGGCUCAACCCUGGACAGGCGGUGGAAACUACCAAGCUGGAGUACGGUAGGGGUAGAGGGAAUUUACGGUGGAGCAGUGAAAUGCAUUGAGAUCGGAAAGAACACCAACGGCGAAAGCACUCUGCUGGGCCGACACUGACACUGAGAGAUGAAAGCUAGGGGAGCAAAUGGG